rnacentral:hammerhead_ribozyme from 1 species
AGCCGAAACGUCUUUGCCUGUCAGUAACGACAGGCAGGGGCGUCUACUUAGGGUAGUGCCUAGGUACUGACGAGGCAGCUAACA